CCUGGGAUAAACUAAAUAAGUUAAUGGACUUACAAUUCAUUUAUAAGGGGAGCCUUUCCUUUAU
rnacentral:tRNA from 1 species